AUUGAACGCUGGCGGCAGGCUAAACACAUGCAAGUCGAGCGGUAACAGAGAGAGGCUUGCUUCUCUGCUGACGGGCGGCGGACGGGUGAGUAAAGCCUAGGAAUCUGCCUAGUAGUGGGGUAUAACUUGCCGUAAGGUAAGCUUAUACUUCAUACGUCCUACGGGUAAAAGGCAGGGACCUUCGGGCCAUUCGCUAUUAGAUGAGCGUAGGUCUGAUUAGUUAGUUGGUGAGGUAAUGGCCCACCAAGACCGCGAUCCGUAACUGGUCUGAGAGGAUGAUCAGCCACACUGGAACUGAGACACGGUGCAGACACCUACGGGUGGAAGCAGUUUCGAAUCAUUCACAAUGGGCGAAAGCCUGAUGGUGCGACGCCGCGUGAGGGAUGAAGGUCUUCGGAUUGUAACCUCUGUCACUGGGGAAGAAACGCUUCAAGUUAACAGCUUGAAGCCUGACUUAACCCGGAGAGGAAGCAGUGGCUAACUCUGUGCCAGCCGCCGCCGUAA
rnacentral:rRNA from 1 species